rnacentral:misc_RNA from 1 species
AGGGAUCAUUACCGAGUUUACAACUCCCAAACCCCUGUGAACUUAUACCUUUACUGUUGCUUCGGCGGGUCAUGGCCCCGGGGAGUCAGGUGCCGCAAGGCCCCUGCCCACCCGGAAACAGGCGCCCGCCGGGGGACUCAAACUCUUCUGUAUAUCUUUUUGUUUUACUGUAUACCGUCUGAGUAAAAAAUUCAUAAUGAAUCAAAACUUUCAACAACGGAUCUCUUGGUUCUGGCAUCGAUGAAGAACGCAGCGAAAUGCGAUAAGUAAUGUGAAUUGCAGAAUUCAGUGAAUCAUCGAAUCUUUGAACGCACAUUGCGCCCGCCAGUAUUCUGGCGGGCAUGCCUGUUCGAGCGUCAUUUCAACCCUCAAGCCCCCUGUGGACUUGGUGUUGGGGACCGGCGACAGCCUCCUGUCGCCGCCCCCUAAAUGAAUUGGCGGCCCCGUCGCGGCCCUCCUCUGCGUAGUAG